rnacentral:sRNA from 1 species
CAAGAGCAGAGAGAAUCUGACUAGGAUUGCCUGGCUUAAAGGGACAGGCUCCCCAUUCCUCCGACCCCUCUAAGCUGCCCCCUCCAGGUUGUGAUCUCGUCUCCCUGUCCUGUAGGACCUCCCUCUCCUGAGGCCACCACUGGGCCCCCUUCUGAGUGUCCCCUGAGCACUCUCUCAGCAUGAACUGCAUAUCCGACUUCUUCACCUAUGAGACCACCAAGUCGGUGGUUGUGAAGAGCUGGACCAUCGGGAUCAUCAACCGAGUAGUUCAGCUUCUGAUCAUCUCCUACUUUGUAGGCAAAAAUGUACCAGCAUCUCUGCAUGCCAGGCACUGUGGACUGAGGACGGAAUGGUGAGCAAAAGCAGACAGGGUCCUCGCCCUCGUGGGGCUUACAGCGGAAGGCAAGAGAUGGCAUUCAUCUGACGAUCUCCGCAAACGUGAAAUGUCAACUGUGGCUUGGAGGUGCACA